UGGGGAAUAUUGCACAAUGGGCGCAAGCCUGAUGCAGCAACGCCGCGUGAAGGAUGAAGGCCUUCGGGUUGUAAACUUCUGUCCUAGGGGAAGAAACAAAUGACAUUACCCUUGGAGGAAGCCCCGGCUAACUACGUGCCAGCAGCCGCGGUAAUACGUAGGGGGCGAGCGUUAUCCGGAAUUAUUGGGCGUAAAGAGUGCGUAGGUGGCACCUUAAGCGCAGGGUUUAAGGCAAUGGCUCAACCAUUGUUCGCCUUGCGAACUGGGGUGCUUGAGUGCAGGAGGGGAAAGUGGAAUUCCUAGUGUAGCGGUGAAAUACGUAGAUAUUAGGAGGAACACCAGUGGCGAAGGCGACUUUCUGGACUGUUACUGACACUGAGGCACGAAAGCGUGGGGAGCAAACAGGAUUAGAUACCCUGGUAGUCCACGCCGUAAACGAUGAGCACUAGGUGUCGGGGUCGCAAGACUUCGGUGCCGCAGUUAACGCAUUAAGUGCUCCGCCUGGGGAGUACGCACGCAAGUGUA
rnacentral:rRNA from 1 species